rnacentral:tRNA from 1 species
UAGGGAAUAGUGUAACAGGAAACACGGAGGGUUUUGAUCUCUUAGAUAUAGGUUCGAAUCCUAUUUUUCUAG